GGGGUCCAUCUUGUACUGACGAGGGCUGCUCAGAAAUUCCAGAAGCUGAACAAGAGCUAGAAGACAAUAUUAUUGUCAAUAAAUACCUGACUGUAAAAUGCGGCUGGAAAAUAGUAGUUACUUUUAUAGGGUUGUGGUAAAAAAAUACACAGUUGACCCUUGGACAAGGUGGGUUUGAUCUGUGCAGAUCUACUUACACAUGGAUUUUCUUUUGCCUCUGCCACCCCUGAGACAGCAAGACCAAUUGCUCCUUUUCCUCCUCCUCUUCAGCCUACUCAACAUGAUGAUGAGGAUGAAGACCUUUAUGACGAUCCAUUUCCACUUAAUGAAUAGUAAAUAUAUUUUCUUUUAUGAUUUUCUUAAUAUUUUCCCCUAGCUUACUUUUUCGUAAGAAUGCAGUUUAUAAUACAUUAAAAAACAUGUGUUAACUGGCUAUGUUAUUGGUAAGGCUAUGUUAUUGGUAAGGUAACGUGUUAAUUGGCUAUGUUAUUGGUAAGGUAUAUAUUAUGCAGUAUAUAAUACAUUUACAAAACAUGUAUUAAUUGGCUAUGUUAUUGUUAAUUGGCUAUGUUAUUGGUAGUAAAGUUUUUUUUUUUUUUUUUUUUUGAGAUGGAGUCACACUCUGUCGCCCAGAUUGGAGUGCAGUGGCACGAUCUCAGCUCACUGCAACCUCUGCCUCCUGGGUUGAAGCGAUUCUUUUGACUCAACCUCCUGAGUAGCUGGGAUUACAGGCAUGUGCCACCAUGCCCGGCUAAUUUUUUUUUGUAUUUUUAGUAGAGACAGGGUUUCGCCAUAUCAGCCAGGCUGGUCUCGAAUUCCUGACCUUGUGAUCCGC
rnacentral:lncRNA from 10 species